UAAGUUUGGAAUCGAUAUCCAUACAACAGCCUUUGUCGUCUUCUCCAUUACAUUAAAAUCAAUAGACCAUGGAUAUACUCUAAUUUGGUGAUCCCAUCCAUUGUGAUUAAAGUACAGAACUGACCUCGCAAGUGAUGUACAAAAAAUCGUCAAAUUGAUCCAUCCUGAUAAGAAUCUGUCUUGGUGCAAGUUGCCCGAUCAAAGCUUGUCCUUUAAUUGCAAGGAUUUUUGGCAGUAGGUUCCUCAAGAUUGAUAACUCCAUCUUGUUUGAAGAUAGUUUCACCCCAAUAGCUUGAUGCAGUCCCUCCUCUUUUGCAU
rnacentral:lncRNA from 1 species